rnacentral:rRNA from 1 species
CCUACGGGAGGCAGCAGUGGGGAAUAUUGCACAAUGGGGGAAACCCUGAUGCAGCGACGCCGCGGGAGUGAAGCAGUAUUUCGGUAUGUAAAGCUCUAUCAGUAGGGAAGAAAAUGACGGUACCUGAUUAAGAAGCACCGGCUAACUACGUGCCAGCAGCCGCGGUAAUACGUAGGGGGCAAGUGUUAUCCGGAUUUACUGGAGGUAAAGGGAGCGUAGACGGCAGCACAAGUCUGGAGUGAAAUGCCGGGACUUAACCCCGGAACUGCUUUGGAAACUGUGCAGCUAGAGUGCAGGAGAGGUAAGUGGAAUUCCUAGUGUAGCGGUGAAAUGCGUAGAUAUUAGGAGGAACACCAGUGGCGAAGGCGGCUUACUGGACUGUAACUGACGUUGAGGCUCGAAAGCGUGGGGAGCAAACAGGAUUAGAUACCCCUGUAGUC